rnacentral:rRNA from 1 species
UCAGUGAAAUUGAACUCGCUGUGAAGAUGCAGUGUACCCGCGGCAAGACGGAAAGACCCCGUGAACCUUUACUAUAGCUUGACACUGAACAUUGAGCCUUGAUGUGUAGGAUAGGUGGGAGGCUUUGAAGUGUGGACGCCAGUCUGCAUGGAGCCGACCUUGAAAUACCACCCUUUAAUGUUUGAUGUUCUAACGUGGACCCGUAAUCCGGGUUGCGGACAGUGUCUGGUGGGUAGUUUGACUGGGGCGGUCUCCUCCUAAAGAGUAACGGAGGAGCACGAAGGUUGGCUAAUCCUGGUCGGACAUCAGGAGGUUAGUGCAAUGGCAUAAGCCAGCUUGACUGCGAGCGUGACGGCGCGAGCAGGUGCGAAAGCAGGUCAUAGUGAUCCGGUGGUUCUGAAUGGAAGGGCCAUCGCUCAACGGAUAAAAGGUACUCCGGGGAUAACAGGCUGAUACCGCCCAAGAGUUCAUAUCGACGGCGGUGUUUGGCACCUCGAUGUCGGCUCAUCACAUCCUGGGGCUGAAGUAGGUCCCAAGGGUAUGGCUGUUCGCCAUUUAAAGUGGUACGCGAGCUGGGUUUAGAACGUCGUGAGACAGUUCGGUCCCUAUCUGCCGUGGGCGCUGGAGAACUGAGGGGGGCUGCUCCUAGUACGAGAGGACCGGAGUGGACGCAUCACUGGUGUUCGGGUUGUCAUGCCAAUGGCACUGCCCGGUAGCUAAAUGCGGAAGAGAUAAGUGCUGAAAGCAUCUAAGCACGAAACUUGCCCCGAGAUGAGUUCUCCCUGACUCCUUGAGAGUCCUGAAGGAACGUUGAAGACGACGACGUUGAUAGGCCGGGUGUGUAAGCGCAGCGAUGCGUUGAGCUAACCGGUACUAAUGAACCGUGAGGCUUAACCUU